UACGGGGGGGGCAAGCGUUGUUCGGAAUUACUGGGCGUAAAGGGCUCGUAGGCGGUGUGUCGCGUCGGCCGUGAAAACCUGCAGCUUAACUGUGGGCUUGCGGUCGAUACGGGCAUCACUGGAGUUCGGCAGGGGAGACUGGAAUUCCUGGUGUAGCGGUGAAAUGCGCAGAUAUCAGGAGGAACACCGGUGGCGAAGGCGGGUCUCUGGGCAACAACUGACGCUGAGGAGCGAAAGCGUGGGGAGCGAACAGG
rnacentral:rRNA from 1 species